AACACAGGAGUGAAACUGAUCCUGCGAGAGGCUGUGGAGACAGAGCAACCUACGCCUUGUGUUGAUGAGGAAGAAAGAGCAAGAGAGCCUUGGACAAGGUGAAGGGCUGUUUGCUGCGUACCAUAAGAGGCAGAAGAAGGAUGUUGGGAGCACUGCAGCUGCACUAUCUCCACAUUGCUGACGGACAGAAUGUCCUUUUGUUCUGGGCAAUGAACAUGAAGGUUCUUCCUUCGCUGUUCAAAGUGGCCAUCAGAGUUUUGGUAGUGCCUGCCUCCAGUGCUCCGGUGGAGCGAGUUUUUAGCCAUGGUGGCAUCAUCCUGUGACCCCAUCGUGCACACAUGAGUGACCGACUAUCGACCAAUUUGGUCUUUUGUAAAUGCAAUGCAUUAUAGGGCCCUGUGAUAAUAGAAAAAGUGUGGGUGAAUGAAACUGUUACUUAAUUGUAUGUUUAUGCAACUGUUAUGUUUCUCAGCUUGUGCUUAAUCUUGGCAAAUGUGGUCUCUUGGACCCUGAGAUUGAUGCAUCUAUAACUUGUGUUUUUCACUCACUCACUCGGUCUGACAAUAACAAACACACACUUCACAUAGUUUUUCAUAAUAAAAAAAGACACAAAUUGUGUGGCUGAAUUAAACUGUUA